rnacentral:tRNA from 1 species
GCCUGGCUGGCUUAGUCAGUAGAGCAUAUGACUCUUGAUCUCAGGGUCCUGAGUUCAGACCCCAGGUUGGGCA